rnacentral:rRNA from 1 species
UAAUCCUAUAACAUAAUCGAGGUCGCAAACUAUUUUAUCUAUAUAUGAACUAUCCAAAAUAAUAACGCUGUUAUCCCUAGAGUAUUUUUAACAAAAAAAUCACUACUAAUGGAACUUUUUAUUAAAAAAUUUUAAAGAUUAAUAAUCUUUAAAAAUCACCCCAAUCAACUAAAAAAUAAAUUUCUAAUAAUUUAAAAAUAAUUAAAAAUUUCCUUUUAAAAAAAUUCAUAGGGGUCUUCUUGUCCCAAAAUUUUACUUGAUCUGAGUUCAGACCGGG